AAAUAUAAUAUAAAAAAUAUAGUUAAUAAGGUUUAAAAUUAGUAUUACACAUAUUAUAUUAAGUAAUUUGGCUUUGGUUAUUAUAUAAAUUGUUGCUAUGUUUAUAUAUGUUAGGUUUGAUUAGAGAACGUAUUAUCUUUAGUGUAACUAGUUUUGAUUGUUUAAUAUAAUAGAAUUAGAAACAUAUUUUGUUAAUAUUUUAUUAAAAUAAAAUAUAAAGAUUACGCAGUAUUUAUUAUUAUACAAUGAAUGAAAGUUUGAUAUAGUUAAUGUAAAUUAUAGAUGGAUUAAUUUGUGCCAGCAUCUGCGGUUAUACAAAUGUCUUAAAUUUAUAUAGGUUAGUAUAAAAAAAAGUAAAAUUAUUAGGUUUAUUAGGGUAGUUGAGAGUAAUAAUUGUAGGUAAAAUUUUUGUUAAAUUAUUACUAUUAAAUUUAUUUUUCUAAAUUUGAAACUUUGAAAAUAAGGUGAUUUUAAAACUAGGAUUAGAUACCCUAUUAUUCUUUAUUUUAAAAAUUUUUUACUUAAGUAGUGUAAAUGAUAAAAAAUAUAAAGUAUUUGAAACUUAAAAAGCUUGGCGGUGUUAUAGAUCCAUUUAGGGGAGCUUGUUUAUUAAUUUGAUAAUCCUCAAUAAACUCUUACUUUUUCUUGAAUAUGUUAAUUACAGUUUGUAUAUUGCUGUCAUCAGUUUAUUUUGUAAAAAUUAUUUAAAGGACUUGAAAGUAUAGAUUACUAAUAUGUCAAGUCAAAAUGCAGCUAAUGGAGAAGGUUUAAAGUAAAAAUGAGCUACAGUUUAUAAUUUUUAAUUGGAUUAAAUUAUGUAAUAGUUUAUGAAUUUGGACUUAAUAGUAAUAUAAUUAAAUAGUGUGUUUAUAUGAAUUGUUUUGGUUUUGUAAUGCGUACAUAUCGCCCGUCGCUCUUGUUGAUAAAAUAAGAUAAGUCGUAACAUAGUAGGGGUAGUGGAAACUGUUCCUGGAUUAAAAAU
rnacentral:ncRNA from 1 species